AUUGAACGCUGGCGGCGUGCUUAACACAUGCAAGUCGAUCGGUAACAGGUGUAGCAAUACAUGCUGACGAGAGGCGGACGGGUGAGGAACGCUCGGGAAUCUGCCUAUCAGCGGGGGACAACCCGGGGAAACCCGGGCUAAUACCGCAUACGCUCUACGGAGGAAAGCCGGGGACCGCAAGGCCUGGCACUGCUAGAUGCGCCCAAGUCGGAUUAGCUAGUUGGCGGGGUAACGGCCCACCAAGGCGACGAUCCGUAGCUGGUCUGAGAGGACGAUCAGCCACACCGGAACUGAGACACGGUCCGGACUCCUACGGGAGGCAGCAGUGGGGAAUAUUGGACAAUGGGCGAAAGCCUGAUCCAGCGACGCCGCGUGGGUGAAGAAGGCCUGCGGGUUGUAAAGCCCUUUCGGUAGGGACGAAAGCUCUCGACCUAACACGUCGGGAGGUUGACUUAACCUACAAAAGAAGCACCGGCUAACUCUGUGCCAGCCGCCGCCGUAACAC
rnacentral:rRNA from 1 species